rnacentral:rRNA from 1 species
AUGCCUCCAGGAAGGGUGAUGGCCCCAGCUCCAGGACAAAAAAAGAGGAUCCUGGAACCUGAUGAACCUGCUCCUGAUAGAGUCACAAGGCAUAAAGCAAAGAUGGCGACUACGACGGACCAUAAGGAAAGUCUGCUGCGGAUGGACUCUGAGACCUCGGUGCAAAUGGGUGAUGAGUUGCCGCCCAUGGAUGAAGAUGCAAUGACUACCAAGACUAGACUUAGAAAGGGCAAAGGGCUAGAGAGAAUCACCAAGUCGCUUGGUAGCAAGGUGCCUAUCCAAAUUGCCGAAGGGAUGAAGCAUCCAGAGAAGCCUCUGCAGGCAGCAAAGCUUGCUUCUGAGUGUGGACUCGUUGCAAGAAGCCAUCUUCCGGUCCUUCCUCACUUCAAGCUAUACAAAAAAAUGCUAGUCUAUUGGAGAACUACAUUGGGAAAGUUGCUGCAAAUUUUGAGAUGA